GCUUAAGUAGUUUAAUUAAAAUAUUGAUUUGUGGUGUCAGUGAUGUAUAUAUUACCUUGGGCU
rnacentral:tRNA from 1 species